AAAAAAAAAAAAAAAAGCUUAUUUGUGACUUGUACAAAACUCGUUUCCUCAAUUCAGGUUUCUUUCAGCUCAAAUGUCAUUUCAAGUCUUGAAAUUAGUACCCUGCCCCAUCAUUUUUAAAAAUCCCUUAUCUUGCAUUUUCUUCUAGCAUUACCACAGCUUAUAUAUUUGGUUCAUUUGCCAUUGACUGCUUCCCCACUAGAAUAUAAGUUCCAUUAGGGCAGGGACUUUAUUUUGUUCACUGCUAUAUUCUCAGUACUUAAAACAAUGCCUUGUAUCAAUUAUAUUUUCAUUUUUUUUAAUGUCCUUCCCGGAAAUGCUAUGCCCUAUAAAUGGCCAACAUUACCAAACUUUUUGUCUUACCGUUGUUAACCUGAUUUGUUAGUAUUGGAAAUUAUCGUAUGCCUUACUAUCUCAUGGAUUACUUGAGUCUGUUUACUAACUUCCAGUUUUUAAACUUGACUGAUAAAAAUCACCGGAGGUACUUGAGAAAUAUAGAAAAACAUAAGCCUCAUCUCUAGGAAUUAAAAUGGCAGGGAAAUGCUCCAAGUAAUGGGGCUUUAAUAUCUCUUUCAUUUACCUGAAUAAUUAAUAUAGAGGUUAAUUCCACUGUUAUAAAUAAUACAGUAAUGCUUAAAUGAAAAACUGGUUUCUGUAACUAUAUGGCUACUUAGGAAAUAUAAUUGAUACUUUGCGAAGAGAUAUGCAGAGAUGUGGUAUAUAAUAGGAAAAUAUAAAACAUUCUGAUUUGUCUAUUGCUUUACCUUUCUUAUGAACCUUCUUCAUUAUUAUUUUUUAAAUUAGAAGUGAAGUCUUGCUAUAUUGCUCCAGGCUGGUAUCGAACUCCUGGGAUCAAGGCAAUCUUCCUGCCUCAGCCUCCCAAGUAGCUGGGAUUACAGACUCAAGCCACAGUGACUGGGUUGUCUAUUCCCUUAUCUUUCGAAAGGAAAUAUGUUUUUAGCCUCAAGAUUGUCUUUCCUGAC
rnacentral:lncRNA from 1 species